GGCACCCGGGGCAGGGCUGCGAGCGGUUCCCCGUCGAUCUGCCGGGAGGUCCCGCUGCAGCCCAGCCUCUUGGCGAGAAGUUCAGACAAGCCACAUAGUCGGACGUUACAAGUGAAAUUCAGCAUCCAUACCAUAAGGAAGUGACCAACCUUGGGCUGGCGCACGUCUGAGACAGCUAAUUUUGGACCUUUGACUUAAAAUCACUCAUCUGGGUGGAGGAGCACAUGACCCAUCACCAGCGACGUCUGAAGGAGGGCGAACUGGCGCUGGGCACCAGGUAUCUGCUCCUGUCAAUACUCCGUCCUCUCAUUCUCAUCUCAAAUUAUGCCGGGAGAGCCUGAUGGACCACAGGAAGCCUUCUGCCGUUUCCGGACAGCAAGACGGAUUUGCAUCCCUGUGCCAGGUCGGCUCUAGCGUGGGCUGGACUUUGGGUAGGGUGGGUAAGAGCCAGCGCGCAGGGUCAGGCUGUGCGCUCAGGCACGGUCCCAGCUGACCGCCCGCGUGAGAAGGAAAAUAAAUGGUCAGAUUUUGGCUGGGACUUGUCCACUGAAGGGGAUAGGAGCUAUGCCAGUUUACACCCUCCGAGGGCUUGGCUGCUGGAGGCGGUUGGCACCAAAAUCCCAGUGAAAGGAUUUAGUGUCAUAAACACACGCAAAACUAUGGAAAGCCCCAGUCGUGGCUCCAAAGGGCGACAAGGGGUCUCCAGAGGAGACCUGCCCCUCCGGGGCUGCCUGACUCGGUUGGUGUUUCAUGCAGGAAUGAACCGACGGGUCUGUGCCCACGUGCGGCCGUGCUGGUGGCCAGGACAGCUCUCCAGCGGGGAGACACGCUGCUGGCACCCAGGGAGCCUUAGGGAAGGAGCUGCUGCUUCUGAUCGUCUCGUAACAGCCUGAGAUGUUGGAGCCAGCAGUUUCCUGGACAGAGACAGCUUCUCAGCGCAGUUCAAGGUACAAUAGGACCAACCCCGCGAGGUGCCUGCUCAGAGAGGGGUGUUCUCGUCCCAUGGUGUGGCAAUGGGACAGAGGAGAUUCCCUGGAGACCCAACUGGUUUCCAACCACCAUCUCCUUUCCGAGCAAAGCCUGCUCCGUGUGCUGGGUGGCUAAGAAGCAACUGUGCUGCUGCUGCGUCAGACUGUAUACUUUUGUGUCCUGGUGUAUAUUUAAGGAUAAUUUGCUCUCAGUAACACCCAGCAGUGCCAAUGACUUUAGGGUCAGCUCCUUUCCUCCCUAAUCCUGCUUUCUAUUUCCACAUACUUACGCAUGAGCAAGCCCUGGAGAUCCUGCAGCCAGCUGCCAGCAGAGAUGCUCAAAAUACAGUUUCAACACAAAAGGAGAUGUAGUUUUGGUACUUUAGCAAUGAUUGCCUCUGGCUACCUUUGGUCCAGGCUUAAAAUGGAGCAGACAAUAUUCUCUUUUUCCCUAAUGAUUUUCAUAUCCCCAUUUUGAGGUUGCAAGAAAUUUGGGGAAGCAUCAGACCAGCAUGUGCCAGUCCCACAGACAUGUCCUGGGACCAGCUUUUUGAAGCCUGUUUUGUUUUUUUUUUCCCCCCUUGCUGCAUUCAGCCUCUCUGGCCAAUGACUCAGUCACUAUUUCUAUUCUCUUCCCACUUCUGUUCCUGCUUCUCUAAAGUUUUGGUCAGUGGCAGCAGCUUUUGCUAAUGUCUUGUGGCUGCUUCUCUCUGAGUUAUUAUUGGAGAUGACUACGAAAUAACAGCGCUGCUCUUUAAGACGCUACUGCACCACUGCAGAAAAUAUUUACCAAAGAUGUGGUAAGCAGCUCUUUACUGGAGUGACUGGCGUCUGCUCUGAAGCGGACCAGACGCCAGUCACUUCAGCAAAGAGCUGCUGCAACAGAACAAAUUGCCCAGGGCAGCAGAUCUUGGGAAGGGAGAAAAGCCAGCAGCCCAGUCUGUCUGUCUUUGUGUUUUCUAAGGGAGAAAAAUUAUCUUUUUACAAGCCUGCCCUAGUUGGCUCUGACCAGCUCUUCCCAGAAAAUACCAUCGUAAAUAGAAGAGCAAACUGUUGCAUAAACGGACAGGUUGCCAUUUAUAUCUGACCUUUCUCAGAUCUGCUUUGAUGUCUUCAUCAACCUAUGCUUCCUUCUCAACCAGCCCCACCGCGUUUUUAGCUCCUGUUUCUAGGAGAGCUCCACUGGACACAACAAACCUCAAUUAAAAUCCAUUUUUGACAUAUACGUAUACUCCCUCUACUUUCUGGACCAGCUCCAAAUAGAAUAAUCCUUUUUUUAAUCCUGCCCUCCCAGGGAACUUCCAGUUUUGUGUUUGCAAAUUGUAUGGGUAAAUAUGGAUAGGGGUAGAUAUUUUUUUUUAAAGACACCGGGCUUGACAUGUUACGCGGUUUGUUGCCAGAUCAGCGCAGUGGCAGCGUGCAGCGCUGGACUGUUUUUCUUAUUCAGAUAGACCCUCUCCAGCUCAAAAAUGACAAUUCACCAACGCCAAGCCAAAAACAAAGUAAAGGGCAGUUUCAGAACUGGGUGUUA